ensembl:lncRNA
AAAUUUCCCUGAAUUUCACUAGUGCAUUUAUGUAACAUUCUCCUCUGAAGAAGAGAACCUAAUAUACUGGAUCCUCUGACAUUCUACCGUACAGCAGAUAUCAAAAUAGAACCAGUACAUUUUUUUCUGCAUAAAAAAUAUUAUAAGCAAUCUUGGCUUUACCUUAGGUUAUGGCCUAAUAGUAAGUAACAAGACAUGAGAAAAUUACAUAAGAACUUCGGGAACCGUUAAAGUAAUAAUUGAGCAGCCACUCAGAGAAAAUAUAACCUAGCAGUUCUUUUUCUCAUCAAUGAAAGCUGUUCCUGUACAGUCCCAAGUCUGCCUUUGCCACAUAAUUCUGAGUCACAUUAAAAAAAAAAAUCACUAUCCCCUUUUUGUAACGACAGAAACCAGCUCAGAAGGUGAUUCAUCCUCACAACAUCUCUAUGAAUUCAGUACCUUGGUACCACCGAAGGACAUCCAACAUAAAGAAAAGCUGCAAGUAUACCCCAUAACCAUAGGGGUCUCCCAUCUGAUAGCAAUCUUUUCUGAAGUAUUAAAACAUUGUUAGACUCCUGACCUGUCUCUCACCUGCCUCUUUUCUUCUACCUCAAGCCACUUCAGCUUGCAGUCAGUUGUCUUGGUCCUGCCACUCUCGCACAUGCAUACAGGUACCCAAGAAGGCUAGAAGGCAUCAGACACCCAGACCAGGAGUCACAGGUGGCUGAGAACUGUUAAGUGCUGGAAACUGAACCCUGAUCUUCUGCAAGAGCAGCAAGCAUUCUAAAACCACUGAGCCAUCUCUCCAGCCCCCAUUAAUUGUUUUUAAAUUAUUUUAAAUGACAUUGAAAACUGCUCAUGAUACAAUACAAAAUUAAUAAACGUAUAAAGUAAAAAAGAAUGUAUGACUCAAUUGUUAUAUGUGUGUGGUAUAUUUAAAGAUUCAUUUUGUU